AGGACGAACGCUGGCGGCGUGCUUAACACAUGCAAGUCGAGCGGAAAGGCCCUUCGGGGUACUCGAGCGGCGAACGGGUGAGUAACACGUGAGCAACCUGCCCUUAGCUUCGGGAUAGCUCCGGGAAACCGGAAUUAAAUACCGAAUAUGAUUUUUGCUGACAUCAGCAGAAGUGGAAAGUUUUUCGGCUAGGGAUGGACUCGCGGCCUAUCAGCUAGUUGGUGAGGUAACGGCCCACCAAGGCGACG
rnacentral:rRNA from 1 species